rnacentral:rRNA from 1 species
AUAUAAAAUGACUCUCGGCAACGGAUAUCUCGGCUCUUGCAUCGAUGAAGAACGUAGCGAAAUGCGAUACUUGGUGUGAAUUGCAGAAUCCCGUGAACCAUCGAGUCUUUGAACGCAAGUUGCGCCCGAAGCCAUUAGGUUGAGGGCACGCCUGCCUGGGUGUCACAC